rnacentral:rRNA from 1 species
AGAGUUGAUCAUGGCUCAGGAUGAACGCUGGCGGCGUGCCUAAUACAUGCAAGUCGAGCGAGAAAUAAGAAGAAGCGUUUCGGACAAAUCAUCUAAUGGAAAGCGGCGGACGGGUGAGUAACGCGUAGGCAACCUGCCCUUAGCAGAGGGAUAGCCAUUGGAAACGAUGAUUAAAACCUCAUAAAGCCGUAGGAGCACAUGCUCCAUCGGCCAAAGAUUUAUCGGCUAAGGAUGGGCCUGCGUCUGAUUAACUAGUUGGUGAGGUAACGGCUCACCAAGGUGACGAUCAGUAGCCGACCUGAGAGGGUGAUCGGCCACAUUGGAACUGAGACACGGUCCAAACUUCUACGGAAGGCAGCAGUAAGGAAUCUUGCACAAUGGGGGAAACCCUGAUGCAGCAACGCCGCGUGAACGAUGAAGGCCUUCGGGUUGUAAAGUUCUGAUCUUGGGGAAGAAGAAAGUGACGGUACCCAAGGAGAAAGCCCCGGCUAAAUACGUGCCAGCCGCCGC